GCCCGAAGCCGAUUAUCUAACCUUUUGGAAGAAGUCGUCGAAGGUGGAAUCAAUAACUGGGGUGCAGUCGUAACAAGGUAGCCGUAUCGGAAGGUGCGGCUGGAUCACCUCCUUUCUAAGGAGA
rnacentral:rRNA from 1 species